AUUGAACGCUGGCGGCAUGCCUUACACAUGCAAGUCGAACGGCAGCACGGGUGCUUGCACCUGGUGGCGAGUGGCGAACGGGUGAGUAAUACAUCGGAACGUACCUUAUCGUGGGGGAUAACGCAGCGAAAGUUGCGCUAAUACCGCAUACGCCCUGAGGGGGAAAGCGGGGGACCGUAAGGCCUCGCGCGAUUAGAGCGGCCGAUGUCUGAUUAGCUUGUUGGUGAGGUAAAAGCGCACCAAGGCGAUGAUCAGUAGCUGGUCUGAGAGGACGAUCAGCCACACUGGGACUGAGACACGGCCCAGACUCCUACGGGAGGCAGCAGUGGGGAAGUUUUGACAAUGGGGGCAACCCUGAUCCAGCAAUGCCGCGUGAGUGAAGAAGGCCUUCGGGUUGUAAAGCUCUUUUGUCAGGGAAGAAACAGCAGCUCUAAUACAGUCUGCGAAUGACGGUACCUGAGGAAUAAGCACCGGCUAACUACGUGCCAGCAGCCGCCGCGG
rnacentral:rRNA from 1 species